UGAGGGUACCCUUUUUGCAUUUAUCAAUUCUGAUUGAGAUGGGGAACAAUCUUGCUGGAGGUUCUCAUCAGCUGUAUCUGCCACAAGUCGUUCUGCUUCCAAAAGGUUUGUGUGUAUGUCAAGUGAUUUCAGCUACUACAAGAACUGUGGGUUUUGAGGCCCAGUGUCCUCAGCUUCCCAGAAGGCCAAAUCAGACACAGAUGGCUAGAAGGCAAAAAAGAGGUUUUUUCGAUUCCUAGAGAAGAUGUCAGUGGAGAAAGCACUUCAAAGAACUGAUAUGACACAGUAGCGAACAGAGCAUUUUUUCAUUUUGCUAACUAAUCAAGAAACCCAUGCCCAUCCCUGGUUGGUUCAAAAACUGUCUAAUUAGGAUCUACAUCCUGAAUCGUUCAGGACACCAUCUAACAUCAUUGCUGAUUGGGACUUCAUGGUGGUGGGAAAAAUCAAUAAACUGUCAUUGGAGCA
rnacentral:lncRNA from 11 species